AUGCGGACACACCCAGCACGCAAACAUGACAGUCUGCAUUCACGUUAUACCUGUGGCAUGCUGCCAUGCCACGAUAGCUUUUUGGGGCACCUACCCAUCACGUGUCCCGUCCAGAUGAGUGCCACGUGUCACCCAUCCAUGGCCCCUCCAUGUCUAUUUAAAGACCUACCUCUCUUCACAUUUCUCUCACCAUUUUUCCCUUCAAAAAUUUUAGAGAGAGAGGAGUUUAGUCUGAGAAAGAAGCAAAAAGGAAGGAAAGAAAGUAGAAGUUUAAGGAGUUGUCCAAGGAGUACUAAAAGUCCUUCCUUCCCCUUCCAAAAAGACAAAUCUAGUUACGAUUACCGUAAGGGAU
rnacentral:lncRNA from 1 species